rnacentral:rRNA from 1 species
CACGUAGGGUGCGAGCGUUGUCCGGAAUUAUUGGGCGUAAAGAGCUCGUAGGCGGUGUGUCGCGUCGGCCGUGAAAACCUGCAGCUUAACUGUGGGCUUGCGGUCGAUACGGGCAUCACUGGAGUUCGGCAGGGGAGACUGGAAUUCCUGGUGUAGCGGUGAAAUGCGCAGAUAUCAGGAGGAACACCGGUGGCGAAGGCGGGUCUCUGGGCCGAUAACUGA